GUGUUAUGUGAUGUUUCUACCAUCGCUGGCCGGAAGAACCUCCUUCCCCUACCUGAGCAGACUGAGCCUGAUAUUUCGAUUCCUGAAAGCUGAUUUGUUUUCCAUAACCAUUACCAUUCGAGUAAGAAUUCUGAUGCUCAGCCAAACUUCUAUCCUUGUGCCACUCUGGAACAUCAGCAGCAUUGGACAGUAAAGGUUCAGAACCUGAUGAAUGCACAGACUGCAAAGGAACAGCAGAACCAGAACCAUCUCCCUUUGAAGUACCAGCAUCUGACUUUUUUGCAAAACGCCCUCCAGAAGCUCUUGCCCUUUUCAAGGCAUGCUGAUGUCUCGACUCGUGAAGAUAUGGCUUUCUCACUUUUAUCAGCUUCUUUUCAAGUUCUGCUUUCG
rnacentral:misc_RNA from 1 species